GCCAGGCACAGUGGUGGCGCCUGCCUGUAGUCCCAGCUACUCAGGAGGCUGAGGUGGGCGGAUCGAUUGAGCCCAGGAGUUCUGGGCUGUAGUGCGCUAUGCCGAUCGGUGGGUGUCUGCACUAAGUUCUGCAUCAAUAUGGUGACCUCCCAAAAGCAGGGGACCACCAGGUUGCCUAAGGAGGGAUGAACCGGCCCAGGACGGAAACUGAGCAGGUCAAAACUCCCAAGCUGAUCAGUAAUGGGAUCAUGCCUGUGAAUAGCCACUGCACUCCAGCCUGGGCAACAUAAAAAGACCCUGUCUCA
rnacentral:SRP_RNA from 1 species